UACAGAGGUCUCAAGCGUUGUUCGGAUUCAUUGGGCGUAAAGGGCGCGUAGGCGGCGGGGUAAGUCUGGUGUGAAAGUCAAAGGCUCAACCUUUGAAAGCCGAUGGAUACUGUGAAGCUAGAGUACGGAAGAGGCGAGUGGAAUUCCUGGUGUAGCGGUGGAAUGCGCAGAUAUCAGGAGGAACACCGGUGGCGAAGGCGGUUCUCUGGGCAUUACCUGACGCUGAGGAGCGAAAGUGUGGGGAGCGAACAGG
rnacentral:rRNA from 1 species